GGAAUGUGCUGCUGGCUCGGACAGAUGAAGAAACAGAAGACAGUGUCCUGAAUUCUUGACUCCAGAGCCAGAUCAAAACCAGAGGACUUGUGUGCUGAAGGUACCUGAUUUCUUGCAGCCAUAAGGCUAAGACAGCCAAAAAUGAAACCGAAUCUGAGCCUGCAGCGUGGCAAGUUAUAUCAUUAGCAGAUGCCAUGGCUUUCAUCAGCUCUGCUCCGUGGACAUCAGAUCUUUGGGAAACUGCAUGCUGAAGCCUGACCCAGCGAUGGCCCACGCUCACUAAGGCAGGGAUGGCAGAGAUGCCAAGGUGGAACGAAGAGACAGCUGUGUGAGUUAACCGUGGGUGACCCAUCCCACCUGAGGACAUCUCAAAAUACUUUCAUGCUUUCCUUCGCCAAGAGGGUGAGGACCAGGAUGCUGAGGCAACCCAACAACUUUCAAAGGAUUUGGUGUCCAGGUGCGGAGUGCUGCCGGUGAUCUGACUCCUGAUUUCUGGGGGAAGGCGGAGUAAGGGGGCUCCUAGCCCUUGGGAGGGCAGAGGCCAUGGCAGCCAUGACUGGCCAUCACAGCAGCAGGACCAGGUGGCCAUCCCAGUGGUCUGACCAUGAGGACGGGUGGGGUUAAUGGAUCACAAAAUCCCCAGGGCAAACAUGGAUCAACGACCCACAAGGACCUAAGGCUUUUCUUUUAAAAAAUAAUUUAUUUUUGAUUUUUCGGUUGUGGUGGGUCUUCAUUCCUUUUGCACAGGCUACUCUUUGCUGUGGUCCGAGGACUUCUCAUUUCAGUGGUUUCUCUUGUUGCCGAGCAUGGACUCGAGGUGUGUGGGCUCAGUAGUUGCGGUCCACGGGCUUAGUUGCUCCACGGCGUGUGGAAUCUCCCAGAGACAGGGAAGAAACACGUGCCCCCUGCAUUGGCAGGUGGAUUCUUAUCCACUGCACCACUAGGGACGUCUGGACCUAAGACUUUUAUAACCCGAAAGAUCUGGGUCUGCUAAACAGAGGUCUGACUUGACAGAAAUCAAUGGGUGGUCCCAUCCCCAUCUCAAAGCCAAGUCCGUUCGCAGACCCAGAGCUCCCUGAGCAAGGAAAGGACCUGAUAUUGCACUCCGAGUCGGUCCCAUGCAUCUCCCCAAAACAUUCCCCCAAGGGGACCAUGGCCAUUUAUGGAAGAACUAUGCCCUGGGGA
ensembl:lncRNA